AAAAAGUUGAAGGAAUAAAAGGGAUGAAAAAAAUGGAACAACGGCGUCAAGAUCCACCAACCGCAGCAAACAGACGAAGGCCGCUGUGGCGACCUAUGUCGACGCAAAACGCAGCUACCGGCGGCGACAAUUCAGCGAAGGCAGUAGUCGCCGAGCAAAUCUCACAGACAGUGCAAUCAACAUCAAACCUUCUUCACCUCAUGCAACACUCUUCUCCUGCUCAGGCUAAACUUGUUAAGCUUCCCAAGAAUCUUUUGGCGAAGGUUUCUACUGUUAAGAACACACAGCAGGUUUUAGAGCAGUUGCCGAGAGUAAUAUCGUCUCUGGAUGCACACAUGGAAAAUGGGUUGCAAAAUGUUCCACAGCUGAAGACUGUCGUUCAGUUACUUGCAAAUAUGGAAAGUAGCCAGCUUAGUUCACUAUCCCGAACCCAUGUUCUUGAGAAGGAACAUGAACCAGGAAACCAGUCACAAGGGACAGAUUAAUCUAACUUUGGCUGCUUGGGAGUUUCCCCUUUGAUCAGUUCAUGCAGAAUUUUUCAAUGCUUUGGACUGAUCAUCCUUGACUUCAUCCUACCAGCUAUGUUUCUUCUUGUGUCUUUCUGCAAAUCAAACAACAAAGAUUUGUCCCUUCUUUUGUAUAAUGUAAAUGGUGAUUCAACUGUAGAAAGCUGUCAAUAUUAUGACUUAUGAGUGAUAAUGUGCCAAAUUUUCAGACUGGGAAUCUUGACUAAUGAGUUCAAGGUCAUGCUACUAAUUGAUGGAGAACAAUUGUCAACAUAUAUAGUCCUGCAAAGGUCUUAGAUCCUGCUAUUCAAGGACAAGUUAUGGGAUUAUCAUUGCAUCAACCAAAGUUUGCAACCAUACAACCAAGAAAACAAGAGUGAAGCUUCAGAAUGAUUGCAAAGUUCUCAAUUGGAGAUUGAAUUUUGCUUAUUGCCCCCCAAAGUGGUUCGCUUUGUAACUCCCGAACGGCUUUUCUGUGUGUUUAUAAGCCCUUUACGACUUGGAAACGUUGUUUUGUAGACUUAAAACAGCAAAUAAGGAGCAAAAGAGUAGUCAUCUUUAAGAUUUUUGCAGUUUCCUAGGAAAAAUAUUGAGACCACUGGUACUUGAAUACCAGUGUCCACUUUUUCAAACUUCAAACAAUCAAAUUGGUUGCAAACCUCCUCAUUGAUUUGUCUAGCUAAGUAAUUUUGUAUUAAACAACA